rnacentral:rRNA from 1 species
UACAGAGGGUGCGAGCGUUGUUCGGAAUUAUUGGGCGUAAAGGGCGCGUAGGCGGUGCGGUAAGUCACCUGUGAAAUCUCCUGGCUCAACUGGGAGCUUGCAGGCGAAACUGCCGUGCUGGAGUGUGGGAGAGGUGCGUGGAAUUCCUGGUGUAGCGGUGAAAUGCGUAGAUAUCAGGAGGAACACCGGUGGCGAAGGCGGCGACCUGGUUCGAUACUGACACUGAGGUGCGAAAGCGUGGGGAGCAAACAGG